AGAAGUGCUCAUUUGGGUCAAUUCCUGCACGUGACGUAAUGUUGUACAUUUAAAGAUUACCAUCAAAAUUAAAGAAAACUGUGAUAAAUGUCCGAGAUUGGGAAGGUUCUUGUGGGGUCAUGUUACAACCAGGUUUUUAUGUCCAGACCAGGUGAAUUCAACAUAAUACAUUAUUUAAGAGCAGAAAGUGUCCUUCAGUUUUAUCAGCUUAGGACACAAAAAGACAUCCUCUUAACUAACCAGAUUUAGUGAAGAGCUCAUGAUGGUCUGAACAAUGCAGAGAUGUUAUGGCUGGACAGUACAGAUGUCAAAGAAAACUGUUUUUGAAACUUCAACUUCACUGCAUUCCCCAGAAGCUACUUAUGAGCUAAAUACGCGUGUAUCAGAACAGAGAAGGGGGGAUGCCGCUGCCAAACAACAGAUUCCAAGAAGUUGGGAUCUUCCAUUUGUUGGGGUCUUUGCUCUGAAAAGGGAAUCAGACAAAACUAUGAUUAGACAUGCAUGAUCUAAAGUCACACAUUGUACUGUAGUAUAGAGUGAUUUGUACUAAAUCAAACUAAGCAUGUUGUUCACUAUGACGAAUAAGCAAGUUUCAUGUCUCUGCAUGUUUAUUUUCUUACAGUACUGAAAAGUACUGGGAGGCAAAUGGCUCUGUAACCUAACUGCAGUAAUAAGGCCGACUGAUCCAGUUUGUCACUUACAGGAUUGUCCAGGAGAUGGAGCCAGGCGUUGAGGUGGUUGACGAGAGUGAAGGCGUCCGGGAUGUUGUCGCCCUCUGAACAGAAGAGCAGCAGCACCGCCAGGGGGAGAUCCUCUGCACAACUGAACAGAGCAUCCAGCACACAUGAUCAAUCUGGACUUGAGGUCUCUAUGAAGCAGCCAGCAAGCUGAAGCUGCUCUCUCUGUACCUGUCUGUGUAGAGUCCUUUGGUUAUGCCUCCUCCAGGGAUGUAGAGGCGCGGCUCUGUGUUGGCAUCUGUUAGUCCCGGGAAGGCCGCCACUCGCUCCAGCUCCCUCCAGCCUAGCUCUUUCCACACGUCCACACUCGCCUUCAGCAGGCACGGUGUGACCAGGUACCUCAAAGGAGUGCUAACACGGAUACACAUGUUUGUUAGUAGAGAUAGCUGUGAACAGCAAAGGCAAAGAAAUGCAGUGAUGAUGUGAAGUGCAUGGUCGAGUACCCUUGCAGCUGUUGGUCGUCCCUCUGGUAGGCGUGGCUGCUGGACAGAACUACGGUCCUGGAGAACCCGCUGGCUUUGAUCCAAGAGACGAGCAGCUGACGGAACUUUUUGGAUUUUGUCUGCAAUUAAAACAAAAGUUACAGCCAUAAAUACAACAAUACCAAUUAAAUUCCAGAGUGCCAGCACCCAUUGAGAACAUUUUUCAGGCUUUAUUUUAGUCCUCAACAACAAAUGACCUGGAAAAAAUGUAGACCCCUCGCUGGGCAACACAACAAGACCGCUGGACCCCAAGCAACUGACAGGAGACGUGCAGCCAAAUGAUCAAGAGCCAAAGAGGUCAUGAAAUAGUCAGCCAUGAUCAGACGGUACCUUCUGCAGGCGUGUGCAGCUCCUCAGCUUCUUCUUUGCAGGUGGCGUACGGGUUGUUCCCAGCCAUGGGGAUGAGACAGUCUGUGUGUAUAUAGCCCACUCUGUUCAUGUUGAGGGUGGACACCAUGAGGUCCACAGCCAGCUGGCCCACAUUACCAACAGCUACUGCUGGCUAAGGGGGGAGAAUAAACAACAAUAAAGGUAGCAACUAUUUU